rnacentral:rRNA from 1 species
GACGAACGCUGGCGGCGUGCCUAAUACAUGCAAGUAGAACGCUGAAGAGAGGAGCUUGCUCUUCUUGGAUGAGUUGCGAACGGGUGAGUAACGCGUAGGUAACCUGCCUUGUAGCGGGGGAUAACUAUUGGAAACGAUAGCUAAUACCGCAUAACAAUGGAUGACACAUGUCAUUUAUUUGAAAGGGGCAAUUGCUCCACUACAAGAUGGACCUGCGUUGUAUUAGCUAGUAGGUGAGGUAAUGGCUCACCUAGGCGACGAUACAUAGCCGACCUGAGAGGGUGAUCGGCCACACUGGGACUGAGACACGGCCCAGACUCCUACGGGAGGCAGCAGUAGGGAAUCUUCAGCAAUGGGGGCAACCCUGACCGAGCAACGCCGCGUGAGUGAAGAAGGUUUUCGGAUCGUAAAGCUCUGUUGUAAGUCAAGAACGGGUGUGAGAGUGGAAAGUUCACACUGUGACGGUAGCUUACCAGAAAGGGACGGCUAACUACGUG